AUAAUCAGGGGUGCCGACCGGAUCGGCUGAGACGGAAGAAUUCUUCCGAACCCUUGCACCUGAUAUGGGUAAUACCAGCGUAGGAAGAUU
rnacentral:ncRNA from 1 species